GCGCGAAAACUUUACAAUGCGAGAAAUCGUGAUAAGGGAACCCCGAGUGCCCGUAAAUUCGGGCUGUCCAUCAGUGUAAAUAACUGGUGAAGAAAGGGCCGGGCAAGACCGGUGCCAGCCGCCGCGGUAAUACCGGCGGCUCGAGUGGUGGCCACUAUUACUGGGCUUAAAGCGUCCGUAGCUUGAUUGUUAAGUCUCUUGGGAAAUCCACCGGCUCAACCGAUGGGCGUUCAGGAGAAACUGGCAAUCUAGGGACCGGGAGAGGUGAGAGGUACUCCAGGGGUAGGAGUGAAAUCCUGUAAUCCUUGGGGGACCACCUGUGGCGAAGGCGUCUCACUAGAACGGCUCCGACAGUGAGGGACGAAAGCUGGGGGAGCAAACCGGAUUAGAUACCCGGGUAGUCCCAGCUGUAAACGAUGCGCGUUAGGUGUAUCGGUGACCACGAGUCAUCGAGGUGCCGAAGGGAACCGUGAAACGUGCCGCCUGGGAAGUACGGUCGCAAGGCUGAAACUUAAAGGAAUUGGCGGGGGAGCACCACAACGGGUGGAG
rnacentral:rRNA from 1 species